rnacentral:rRNA from 1 species
GACAGAGGGUGCAAACGUUGUUCGGAAUUACUGGGCGUAAAGCGCGCGUAGGCGGCAGCGUGUGUCGGGCGUGAAAUCCCACGGCUCAACCGUGGAAGUGCACUCGAAACUGCGCAGCUAGAGUCUCGGAGAGGAAGGCGGAAUGCUUGGUGUAGAGGUGAAAUUCGUAGAUAUCAAGCGGAACACCGGUGGCGAAGGCGGCAUCCUGGACCGAGAUUGACGCUGAGGCGCGAAAGCCAGGGGAGCAAACGGG